UACGAAGGUGGCAAGCGUUGUUCGGAUUUACUGGGCGUACAGGGAGCGUAGGCGGUUGGAUAAGCCCUCCGUGAAAUCCCCAGGCUCAACCUGGGAACUGCGUCUGAUACUGGAUGGCUUGAAUCCGGGAGAGGGAUGCAGAAUUCCAGGUGUAGCGGUGAAAUGCGUAGAUAUCUGGAGGAAUACCGGUGGCGAAGGCGGCAUCCUGGACCGGCAUUGACGCUGAGGAGCGAAAGCCAGGGGAGCAAACGGG
rnacentral:rRNA from 1 species